AACGCAGGUGGUUUGGUAAGUCAGGGGUGAAAGUCCACAGCUUAACUGUGGCACUGCCUUUGAUACUACCUUUCUUGAGUGCAUGAGGGGGAAGCGGAAUUCCGAGUGUAGAGGUGAAAUUCGUAGAUAUUCGGAGGAACACCGGUGGCGAAGGCGGCUUCCAGGCAUGUAACUGACACUCAUGUUCGAAAGCGUGGGGAGCAAACAGGAUUAGAUACCCUGGUAGUCCACGCCCUAAACGAUGGGCACUAGGUGUGGGAGGUAUCGACCCCUUCCGUGCCGCAGCUAACGCAUUAAGUGCCCCGCCUGGGGAGUACGGCCGCAAGGUUGAA
rnacentral:rRNA from 1 species